CUUAACUUCUGAGCUCCUCACUAAAAAGCCACAUGUUCUUUCUCAUCUGUAAGUGUCUAUGGAUAGGAAGCAAACUGCAUUUUGCAUGAGGUCCUACCCGUGUACUAUACAGAUCACAGCUUCAAAAAGAGUACAUCAGUAUGAGCUUGAGCAUAAAAGAUCUGCCUCAGAAAAAACUCGGAAUCCAGAUCAAAAGCUCCAGUUUCAACCUGGUCAUUCAGUUGAACUGAGAAGAUACAAGCCUGGAGCUACUGUUGACAAGUGAAGCUUUCAUUUGUGUGAGCCGUCAAACAGAGAAGGCUGGUCUGCAGCUGACAGCAGAGUGGAACAUCGUGUAUAGAAGCACAGAGAAUUAGAUUUGUAUUCCUGGCAAAGAGAGAGGACUGCUGACUCUAGUACAUAUGUCCUCUCACAAUACAGAGCCAUCUUUGUGCCCUGCCUUUUCCAACUAAAAACCCCUCCAACUUCAAGAUUCUUUCCUCCUUACUGGGCACAUUGUCUCAAGCAUUGCAGCAGUAAAAUUUGUUCCAGGACUCUGCUCUGACAGAGAACUUCUUGGGUAAGUCUGAAUAGAAAGAAACUAGAGAAU